UAUGGAACGUCCAGCAGCUUUCUGAGGCCUGAAUGCGGAUCUCUGUCAUCUUUAAAACUGGAAUUUCCCUGUCACCAGCCACAGGCACAGAAAGUUCUCAGCACCUUGGGGCUAGGAUGCCACACACUGGAAACUAUGCAUAGUUUUAGGAACACCAGGUUUACUAAAAAUUCAGCGAUGAAAUACUUUUGUAUCUAAACAUCUGACAUCCUGCCGCUGUUCGUUGUGACUGGUGACUUGACUGGGUUAAAGGAGGCUGAGCAGACUGGGUGAAGCUGCAGUGGCUGCUGCAGAAGUCCAGGUACUGGUGCCAUAAGGCAGCCCCGCGUCACCAACACGUACCUUGCCAGGUGCGUUCCCACGCGGAGGCGGAACCGGCUCCUGGGCCCAGUAAGGCCCCUCCCUGAAUCGCCUCAGCCGUUCCACAGAGGACGCAGCUUCCACCGCGCUGAACAGGGCUCCUUCACUGAUCUCUCUUCCAUUCAGUCGUUGAACGUGAAGAACCAUUUCUCUGGCCCACGACAUUUUCUUAAGGGCUGA
rnacentral:lncRNA from 1 species